CCUACGGGAGGCAGCAGUGGGGAAUAUUGCACAAUGGGGGAAACCCUGAUGCAGCGACGCCGCGUGAGUGAAGAAGGAUUUCGGGAUGUAAAGCUCUAUCAGCAGGGAAGAAAAUGACGGUACCUGACUAAGAAGCACCGGCCAACUACGUGCCAGCAGCCGCGGUAAUACGUAGGGGGCAAGCGUUAUCCGGAUUUACUGGGUGUAAAGGGAGCGUAGACGGCCAGACAAGUCAGAAGUUAAAGCGCAGGGCUCAACCCUGGUACUGCUUUUGAAACUGCCGGGCUGGAGUGCAGGAGAGGUAAGCGGAAUUCCUAGUGUAGCGGUGAAAUGCGUAGAUAUUACGAAGAACACCGGUGGCGAAGGCAGCUUACUGGACUGUAACUGACGUUGAGGCUCGAAAGCGUGGGUAGCAAACAGGAUUAGAUACCCCAGUAGUC
rnacentral:rRNA from 1 species